rnacentral:rRNA from 1 species
GAGUUUGAUCAUGGCUCAGGAUAAACGCUGGCGGCGUGCCUAACACAUGCAAGUCGAACGUCCUCUUUCUCUUCGGGGAAAGAGGGAGUGGCGGACGGGUGAGUAAUAUGUAGGUGAUCUGCCCUGUGGUGAGGAAUACCGGUGAGAAAUCGCUGACAAUACCGCAUAGGCUCUCGCGAGAGAGCAAAGUUUCGCGCAAGCGAGACGCCACGGGAUGAGCCUGCAUCCGAUUAGCUAGCUGGUAGGGUAAUGGCCUACCAGGGCAACGAUCGGUAGCUGGUCUGAGAGGAUGAGCAGCCACACUGGGAUUGAGAACGGCCCAGACUCCUACGGGAGGCAGCAGUGAGGAAUUUUCCGCAAUGGGGGCAACCCUGACGGAGCAACGCCGCGUGCAGGAUGAAGGUCUUCGGAUCGUAAACUGCUUUUACCGGGGAAGAGAAAGGACGGUACCCGGUGAAUAAGCCCCGGCUAACUACGUGCCAGCAGCCGCGGUAAGACGUAGGGGGCAAGCGUUGUCCGGAAUUACUGGGCGUAAAGCGCACGCAGGCGGUCUCUUAAGUUCCUGAUGACAGUCAUCGGCUUAACCGGUGAAGCCUGGGGAAAACUGAGAGACUUGAGAGCGAGAGAGGGAUACGGAACUCCGAGUGGAGCAGUGAAAUGCGUAGAUAUUCGGAAGAACACCAAAGGCGAAGGCAGUGUCCUGGCUCGCUUCUGACGCUCAAGUGCGAAAGCCAGGGGAGCGAACGGGAUUAGAUACCCCGGUAGUUCCUGGCCGUAAACGAUGACCACUAGAUGUGGGAGGCAUCGACCCCUUCCGUGUCGUAGCUAACGCAAUAAGUGGUCCGCCUGGGGAGUACGACCGCAAGGUUAAAACUCAAAGGAAUUGACGGGGACCCGCACAAGCAGCGGAGCGUGUGGUUUAAUUCGAAGCAACGCGCAGAACCUUACCAGGGUUUGACAUGCAAGCGCACCAGCCGUCAUGGGCUGUACCCGCAAGGGACGCUUGCACAGGUGCUGCAUGGCUGUCGUCAGCUCGUGCCGUGAGGUGUUGGGUUAAGUCCCGCAACGAGCGCAACCCCUGUCGUUAGUUGAAACUCUCUAACGAUACUGCCACUUCUAAAGUGGAGGAAGGUGGGGAUGACGUCAAGUCAGCACGGCCCUGACAUCCUGGGCUACACACACGCUACAAUGGCCGCGACAAAGGGCAGCGAACUCGCAAGAGGGAGCGAAUCUUCAUAAACGCGGUCUCAGUUCGGAUUGGAGGCUGCAACCCGCCUCCAUGAAGCUGGAGUUGCUAGUAACCGUAGGUCAGCACACUACGGUGAAUACGUUCCCGGGUCUUGUACACACCGCCCGUCACACCACGAAAGUCGGCAACACUUGAAGCCGCCAGGCUAACCUCAUUAGGAGGAGGCAGGCGUCGAGGGUGGGGUCGGUGAUUGGGGUGAAGUCGUAACAAGGUAGC